UUAUCACAGAAAGAAACUCUGCUGAUUUGUGUGCAGCUUGUGUGCGCUGCCUGUAGGGGUGUGAGAGGGCAGCAGCACCUUACAGCUGGCACUUCAAAAUCAAAUAUAAAACAAGAACAUAAAAGCUUUGGGAUAUCUGAGAACAGAGCCAACAGUGGAUCUUUCUGUGGCUGCUGAGGUUGCACCUUGGGGUUUCUCAGCAAUUAGCAUGGAAGUUACUUUUAAACAUUCCAGAGAAUAACUAAUGAAUUUAUGGCAGUCGAUGUAAAGAAAAUACGAGAAUCUGAAAACCAUUAAUAAAAAGUAGCGUUCCUGGAUGCAAGGCUGAAUGUAUCUCUCUUCUUUCCUUUGCCACCACAUUGGAACAGCUACCUGAGGAGCGUCUUAUUUCCUCUAUGCCCAGAUAAGCUUGAAGUGCACAUGGUACAACUGCUUUAAGCUAAAAGGUCUGAGUUAAGGCUCACUUGGAGAAUAAUGAGUGAGAAUCUUCUGGACAAUUCUACAGCAUUUUUUCCACCUUGUCCUUUUUGGCAAUCAUAUAAUAAAGCAUAGAAAUUAGUGCUUCUAGAUGCAUGGCAACCAACCCUGGUCAAAACCUCUAGCGUUUGCUGUAAGAUAAUAAAGGUAAUCCACUGAAAAACACUUCUAGGGUCCUAGGAGAGAAAGAUAAAAUUACAAAAAGGUUGAUUUUUCUUCCCCUAAAACACUGCAUUAAUCAUUAUUGCAAAUGUCAGAAUGCACUCAUACUGUAUCAUCCAUCCCAUCCCCCUAGCGUUCUAUAUUAUAUUCAGAACUACACCCUGUUCACCUGCAGAGAAAUCACUUCCCCGUUUGGUAGAGAAGCUAUUUAUUCCUAUAUCUUCUAAUUAAAAUCUUAAUGCCAGUAACAUAUAUUAAAUCAAGUUCCAUUACAUGCCUAACUUUCAAAAGCACGUAUUUUUUAAGCAGCUCAUAUUUUGUCAAGCCUAAUUGCUGUAGUUCUACGCAAUAUUAGUUGCAGAACAGCCAGUAAUAACCUUUAGUCCUGGCAAAUUCUCUCUCUACAAGAACUCAAUCACAUAACAUAAACAGCUAUAAAAGGAGGCUUUUUAAAGCUUUAUUCAUAAUAUGUAGCACAUGCAUGUGGCAGUGUAUAUCAGAUCACAACACUGAAGGAAAUACGAGAUUUAUCCAUGACAUAAGUUGUGCCAACAUUUAGUAUGUUGAGACCAUUAAUUUGAAUUUAAUUAUGUUAGAAAGGAGGGGGGGGAGAAUGUUUCUUCAUUAGGGCAGGCUUUCCCAAGAUAACAUUAAAAAAUGGGUUUUGAUUCCUGAGUGCUUGCAAUGAUGCAACUAAGCACCAGGCCGUUAGCAGUAGAGAAUCAGGGUGGUCUCUAAGAAGAAAUGCACACCAGAGAUUAACGAUAAGGAAGAAAGAUUUUACCUCUGCUAUGGUAGGAGUGUAAAAAGAAAGCUGUAAGGACUACAAAUAAAAAAAAUGAGAAUAAAGAAUGGCUUCUUGACCUCACCAGAUUCACAGCAAGACAUAGCUGAUAUGAACGUGACAUACCAUGUGGCCCAGCACAGUGCAGAGCUCCUCUGAGUGUGAACUGAGUGCCACUGCUCCCACAGCAGGCCCAGCAACACCAGCUCCACUGACCCUUACUGCUCCUCAUCUCCCCACAUCCCUUGGUUUCCUUAAGGCAGCAGCCCCAGGCCAGCACAGCACAAACGCUCGUGGGGUUGACAGAGCCCCAGCCUCAGACACAUACCUGAGAACAUUCUUCAAACCCACACGCCAUGGAAAAGCCACACAUUGGCCAUCCUUGACUCACUCUGUAGCUGGGAUAUGUAUCCCACAGCGCAGUUCUCAAAAGCCCAUAGGUAAUUUAUGGAGUAUAUUUACCAAAUGUCUUUAGCUUGAGCCUCUAAAUUUGUUAAUCCCCAGAGAUGUGGAUACAGUCUUCAGUACAGCAAAUGUACAGCAAGGAUUUAAUACCAACUUAUCUAACACUCAAUCUAGUAUAUUUUGAGGCAAUCUAUUAGAGGAAUAUGCUUCGCAGGCAUUUUCUAGACCAGUGCAGAACAGAGAGUACCUAACUGGUGGCCAGUAAGUGAGAGAACCUUCCCAAAUUCUUCACUACCAUACCAUGACUCUCAAAGAUGGCACAGUAACAGAGGGUAUAUUUAUUCCAUUCUGUUAUUUCGCUGCUUUUGGAUUUAUUCAUACAAAAAAAGUUACAAAAAAGAGACACUCCAAGUAGGAUAAUCACAGCAUGCAAGAAUAUUUUGAAACCAGUAAAUAUGACACUAGUUACCCAGUCUUUAAAAGAGAGGGAAGAAUGAUAGUGACUUUUUUUUUAUAGUUCUAUACACAACUCAUAAGAGUAGUAUUCUAAUCUGAAAUGCAGGGAGAAGAACGUUCUUUAUGAUUUAUUAGCUUACCUAAACUAAAGUAUACCGUUAAUUUCACAAAUACUAGCUGCAGAGCAGUAUGGAAAAGGAAAGCCUACAUCUCAAGUUUAAAUCUGAAAAGGCCAAGAUUCUGAAGAAACAUAAUCUUCUGUAGGACAGUUACUUAUUUUACCAAUAAGUUUGCAUAGUUCAAGCCAUCUUUUUUCUAAAAGGUAAUACAAUCUCUUUUCAAAGGAUCCAUUGUCAAGUGUGAUUACUUGUGAGCAUUUGAGAAGUUCAUAGAAACAUUAUGCAUACAAGUUCAAUUUGAGAAGUUUUGGGAAGUCCAAAUUCAUUAGGAAAGGCUGAUCACAACUGAAAAGUAAUUUGUGCCUGUGUCCAGCCCAUUUAUGGAUGUUUUGCAAUCCUUGAAAUGAAAUGUUUUCUUUAGUAGUUACAAAAAACGAUCAGUGUUGGGCAUAUUGUGUGCUACAAAUACUGUAGAAUUGCAUACAGAUAAGAAAAAUAUAUCAUUACGAAUGAAAAAAGUUAAAUAAUCCAGGCACAUAAUGACAUACAGGUUUGUCCUUAUUUUUAAUGCACCUUUUUUACCUGAAAAAACUCACAGUACCCAAUUCCGUUCCCAUUUUAUGGGGACUUCAGAAUUGGAAGUAUGAAGAAAACUCUGAACAAAAAACUUAGCUUCUAGCAUGUUAACGAUCUUAAAAGCAAGAAUCUAUUGUAAUCUGGAUAAUAUAAUUAAUCUUAAUAGAGAAUUGAUGACAUCAAUGCGUUAAAAUAAUUGUCUUCUAAACUGCAGCAAAUCCAUGCAGCCUUCUGAUCCAACCUUGAGCUUUUUCAAUAGACCUGCUAUUCAGUGCCUGAGUGUAAGUGUGAAAACAGGCAGGUUCAAGUAGCUGCCUGUGGCAUAGCCACAUGCAAUUUGAUAAUGUCAAUAUUUCUGGCAUAUUCAAAUAUAAAAAAAUACAAAGUUACUAAGCAAAAUCACUACUCCAAGGUAAGUAUCAAACAAUUCAGUCAUUUUCUGAAGCACAGUGUACAUCAACAAUAUUUCCAUGUGGUUUUUUAUGAAUAUACCAUAUUAAAAA